GAUGAACGCUGGCGGCGCGCUUAACACAUGCAAGUCGAACGAAGCAUUUAAGACAGAUUACUUCGGUUUGAAGUCUUUUAUGACUGAGUGGCGGACGGGUGAGUAACGCGUGGGUAACCUGCCUCAUACAGGGGGAUAGCAGCUGGAAACGGCUGGUAAUACCGCAUAAGCGCACAGUACCACAUGGUACAGUGUGAAAAACUCCGGUGGUAUGAGAUGGACCCGCGUCUGAUUAGCUUGUUGGCGGGGUAACGGCCCACCAAGGCGACGAUCAGUAGCCGACCUGAGAGGGUGACCGGCCACAUUGGGACUGAGACACGGCCCAGACUCCUACGGGAGGCAGCAGUGGGGAAUAUUGCACAAUGGAGGAAACUCUGAUGCAGCGACGCCGCGUGAGUGAAGAAGUAGUUCGCUAUGUAAAGCUCUAUCAGCAGGGAAGAUAGUGACGGUACCUGACGAAGAAGCUCCGGCUAAAUACGUG
rnacentral:rRNA from 1 species